rfam:Aspergillus ruber CBS 135680 unplaced genomic scaffold scaffold00003, whole genome shotgun sequence.
CAACACAAUGAUGAUACACACCUUACUUUUAUUUUUCUGGUACCUCUUAUGUCAGGAGUGCGUCCUAGCGAUGUUCCUCCGAUGAUCUAAAUGGACUUCUGAUC